GCAUUCGUGGUUCAGUGGUAGAAUUCUCACCUACCAUGGGAGAGACUCAGGUUCAAUUUCCGGCCAGUGCA
rnacentral:tRNA from 1 species